GCUUAAGUAGCUUAUGGGUAAAGUGCGAUAUUGAAGGUAUCGAGAAGGAUUAAGCG
rnacentral:tRNA from 1 species